AAAAUACUCCCUCCAUACCAAAAUUCUUGUGUUAGAUUCGUCUAGAUACGGAUGUAUCUAAUACUAAAACGUGACUUGAUACAUCCGUAUUUAGACAAAUCUAAGACAAGAAUUUUGGGAUGGAGGGAGUAUGUG
rfam:Triticum aestivum genome assembly, contig: Triticum_aestivum_CS42_TGACv1_scaffold_193967_3AL